rnacentral:rRNA from 1 species
AGGACGAACGCUGGCGGCGUGCCUAACACAUGCAAGUCGAGCGGUGAUCCUCCUUCGGGAGGUGAGCAGCGGCGAACGGGUGAGUAACACGUGGGCAACCUGCCCCUCACACUGGGAUAACCUCGGGAAACCGGGGCUAAUACCGGAUAUGACCUCGAGCGGCAUCUCUUGAGGUGGAAAGCUCCGACGGUGAGGGAUGGGCCCGCGGCCUAUCAGCUUGUUGGUGGGGUAAUGGCCUACCAAGGCGACGACGGGUAGCCGGCCUGAGAGGGCGACCGGCCACACUGGGACUGAGACACGGCCCAGACUCCUACGGGAGGCAGCAGUGGGGAAUAUUGCGCAAUGGGCGAAAGCCUGACGCAGCGACGCCGCGUGAGGGAUGAAGGCCUUCGGGUUGUAAACCUCUUUCAGCGAGGGACGAAGCGAAAGUGACGGUACUGCAGAAGAAGCACCGGCUAACUACGUGCCGAGCAGCCGCGGUAAC